CCCUUGUUGGUCGAGGGGUAUGAUUCUCACUUAGAGUGCGAGAGAUCCUGAGUUCAACUCCCCAACGAGCCC